rnacentral:rRNA from 1 species
GGAGGGCAAGUCUGGUGCCAGCAGCCGCGGUAACUCCAGCUUCAGAAGCGUAUAUUAAAGUUGUUGCAGUUAAAAAGCUCGUAGUUGGAUCUGGGUCGCAUGGCUACAUGCCGUUGCUUGUGCUUUGGCUUGGCUGUAGUUGAGUCGAGGCUUGCGUCGGUGUAGUGGUUGUGCAGCCUUUCUGCUGUGUCUGUGUAUACGGGUGCUGACUGGGUGUUUUACAUCUGUUGGCAUGCUUCUGGAUGCCUUUAAUUGGGUGUCGGGAGCGGACAGCCCGUUUACUUUGAACAAAUUUGAGUGCUCAAACCAGGCCAUAGUGCCUGAAAAUUCUUGCAUGGAAUAAUGAAAUAGGACUUCGGUUCUAUUUUGUUGGUUUUCGGAUCCGAAGUAAUGGUUAAGAGGGACAGACGGGGGCAUUUGUAUGGA